CUGGAAUUUGCUUUAAAAACAAAUCUGGGGGGAAAACCCAGCAUUAUUCAAUAUUUAUUUGCAGUAUCUAAUACAGUAACCACUAAUCAUGUACGGAUAGCUACUGAAUACUUGAAAUGAGCAUUUAAACUUCAAUAGCCACAUGAGGCUAGUGGCUACUGUAUUGGACAGCUCAGCGCUAGAUGAUGCAAGAUGUGCAAAAUAUUGGUAACUGUCAAAGCUGGGUGUUAAGGACAUGAGAAUUCAUUAUACAGUCAGCCCUCUGUAUCUGUUGGCUACUCGACCACAGAUCAAAAAUAUGUGGAAAAAAGAUGAAUGCUUGUGUCUGUACUGAACAUGUAGACCUUCCCCCUUGUCAUUAUUCCUUAAACAAUACAGCAUAACUAUUUAUGGCCCGGCACAGUGGCUCACACCAGUAAUCCCAGCACUUUGGAAAGCUGGGGCAGGAGGAUGCCUUGAAGCCAGGAGUUUGAGACUAGCCUGGGCAAUAAAGCAGCACCCUGUCUCUACAAAAAUAUGUAUCUAUUUUAAAUUAUCCAGGCGUGGUGGCGCAUGCCUGUGGUCCCAGCUACUAGGGAGGCUGAGGUGGGAGGAUUACUUGAGUCCAGGAGUUUCAGGCUGCAGUGAGCUAUGAUCACACCACUGUACUCCAGCCUGAGCAACAGAAUGAGACCCCAUCUCUUAAAAAAAAAACAAAAAAAAAACAAACCAACCACUUACAUAACACUUAUUGUACUAGGUACUGUAAGUAAUCUAGUGAUGACUUAAAGUAAAUGGGAGGGAAAAAAUAGCAUCUAUGGGAGGAUGUGUGUAGGUUCUAUGCAAAUACAAUGCUAUUUUAUAUAAGGAAUUUGUGACUGUGGAAUUUGGAAGCCAUGUGGGGGUCCUGGAACCAGUCCCCCAUGGAUAUGAGAGACAACUGUACUAUUCUACUUUUGUGGAGAAUUAAAAAUUUUCAUGAUUAAAAGCUUAAGAAAAAUAAAUGGAGAGUCAAAUAAAGGCAUUUUAAAAUAAAGACCUGAGACAACUUACCCAUCCAAAAAGACCAUCACAGAAGUAACUUAAAAGUACUUCAGGAGAUAGGAACUGGAAGACCCAAAAUGUUAAGUAGAAUGAACAAAGGUAAAAUGGAUAAAAUUAAGCAAACCUUUAUUAUAUAAAAUGGUAAUAAUACCAAAUUCGUGACAUGGAAAAAUAAGCUCAAUCCUAAUACUAAAUAAUAUAUAAAUUGGGAAGGAGGUGAUUGAGUAGUAUGUUCCUUGUAUUCUUCCACUGGGGACUCACAAUAUUGAUUAGGUUUAGACUGUAAGUAUGCAUGAUAAAAUAGCUAGGGUAACAAUUCAAAGGAUGGACAUAGUGAGUUUAACUCACAGUCUAGAAGAGAAAAUGGAAUUAGGUUAAAAAAAAAUCUCAAUUCCAAAGGUAAGAAAAAUAAGGGAAAUGAAACAAAAAAAAUAGGUCAAAUGAAAAGCACAAUGUAAAAUGUAAGAUGGUAAAAAAUGUCUGACUGUAUCAAUAACAGUAAGUGUACAGAUGGGCUAAAUUCUGCAGUUUAAAAACAGACUGUCCUGGUAGAUUAAGAUAAACUAGCUCUAUGUUAUUUCAUUAGAUGCACUAAAAUCCACAACAACACAUAAAAAUUGAGUCUCAAAAAUAAGAAAGAUAUACCAGGUGAAUAUUAACCAAAAUAAAGUUUGUUUGCUAAAUUAAUUUCAUAGAUUUUGAGACAAAAGGCACUAUUAGAGGUAAUGACAUGAGGAUGUAAAGUACCAAUUAGGAAGAUAUAAAAUUCUAGUCUCAUAAAACUUAUAAAGCAGAAGCUAGCACAAUUAAAGGAUAAAUAACACAAAUCAUCACUAUAAGACUUUCAAACACUGCUCAGCAAUAGAAAGAUCAUAUGAAAAAAAGGAUAUGAAGAUUUGAACAACACAAUGAGUAUGCUUAAUCUAGCACACUGAGGGACACUACUGAAUGUAUGGAGUAUACAUAGAUUCUUGAAGCACACAUGAAGUGUUUAUAAAAACUGACCAUACUGUAUGGUGAAUAUACUGUAAAGCCAGUCUUAAACCUUCCAAAUUUGGUAUAUAAAACAUCUCAUGGGCCCCUUAAAUAUAUAUACCUACUAUGUGCCCACAAAAAUUAAAACUUAGAAAAAGAUUUGGUAUACAAACAUGUUCUCUGACAUGUCUUAAUUACAAUGUAACUAAGUUGUAAGUUAAUAACGAGAUUACAUUGAACUAUAUGAAAUGGGUGUUUUGGUAGUUUUAAAAUAUGGUUGAAUAUUAGUGGUUUCAUAUUUUUCAAGCAAACAGAAAAAAGUAACACAUUUGGAAUUCAGAAAACAUCACACUUCCAAAUAACUUAUGCUUUUAUAAAAGAAUUGAAUUAGAAAAUACAUAAUACUAUGGUUAUUGAUUAGUUCUAAGUACCACAACUUGUAGAAUGUAGCUAAACUGGUCCUUAGGAAAAAAAUAAGCUUUAUAUGUUUAUAUUAGAAAAGAAGUGAACUUAAAAAUUAACUUAAGCAGCUGGAACGGGAAGAGCAGAAAAUACGAUGAUGAACUAGAAAACAACAGUAUCACUCAAGCUACAAACUGGUUCUUUGAAAACUACUAGGAAAAAAAUCGGGCAAAAUUCUUCAAAGACAAAAGGAGAAAAACACAACUACAAAUGUUGCAGAGAUUAACAAGACAUGAAUAACUUUAAUCAAAUUCAAAACUUUCAGGAAAUAAAUUGAUUCCUACAGAAAUACAACUUACCAAAACUGUGUAGAAAUUACAAUAAAAAGAACUAGCUGGUGAUGGUUGAGUAACACUGUGAAUGCAAUGAAUGCCACUGACUUGUACAUUUAAAAAUGAUUAAAAUGGCAAAUUUGGCUUUAGGUAUUUUACCACAAUUUAAAAAAUAUAAAAGAAGAAUCUAGACUGAUCCCGUCAGCAAGGUGCUAGGUCUUCCCAGCUUAACUCACUGCCCAGAUAUUCUUUUAAAACAGAAAACAAAACUAGAUUAUUUAGGUUUUCACCAAAAAACACCAUGCUCAAAGGCUUUAUCAGUCAGUUAUGCCACUCAAAGAAGAAAGAAUUCCAGUCUGGAUGAAAAUAUUCCAGAGAUUAGGCAUAUUUAUGAAGACUGGUUACUUAAACUACACUUCAAUGUAAUUUGUCACUAAUGUUUGCAUUAUUUCAGGUAUAGAUAACUUAUCCACUCUAUAGGCAAGAGCUGGGUAUCUGGAAGGUUUUAUUUAAUAUAGCCUUUAUGCAAACCCCAGAAUUGUGUAUGGUUCAAAAUGUCAUGUUUGCCUUUGGUUAUUCUAUUAACAGCAGUUUACAAUAUUACAAGGGAAAAAAAUAUGGUCACUUUUAAACUAAUUUCACAAAACAGUUUAACUUAUCAAAGGGAUUACCGUGAUUAAGAGUAUAAAAGGAAGAAUAUUCUUUGAGAUUGGCAUACUGAUAUCAAACAUGACAAGGCCACUUUAAGUAAACAAAAUUAUAGGCAAAUUUCAACAUAGAUUCAGAUAUUCUAAGGAAAAUAAGUCCAAACAAAAAAUGUCAAUAAAUAGGAAAUAUAGUACAACAGAAUUAAGUUAGGUUUACCAGAGGAAUGCAAGAGAUGCUUGCUAUUAGAAAAUCAAUAUAAUUUGCUUCAUUAAUAGAGCAAAAGAAAAAUUGUAUGAUCAACUCAAAGUGAUAAAAACCAGUAUCACAUAAUGAUUUCAAAAAUAAAUUUUUUCAACCUGAAAACUUUCGGGCUGAAUUUAAUUCAGCCAGCUUAUUUAUUUUUAUUUUUAUUUUUUUUUUGAGACACUCUUGGUCUGUUUCCCAGGCUGGAGUGCAGUGGUGCGAUCUCUGCUCACUGCAACCUCGCCAGGUUCAGGAGAAUCACUUGAACCCGGGAGGCAGAGGUUGCAGUGAGCCGAGAUUGCGCCACUGCACUCUAGCCUGGCGACAGAGGUAGAUUUGGUGCUGUGACUCAGAUCUGGGGACCUCCCUUGGGAGAUCAAUCCCCUAUCCUCCUGCUCUUUGCUCUGUGAGAAAGAUCCACCUAUGACCUCAGGUCCUCAGACCGACCAGCCAAGGAACAUCAAUCCAAUUUUAAAUCAGGUAAGUGGCCUCUUUUUACUCUCUUCUCCAACCUCUCUUACUAUCCCUCAACCUCUUUCUCAUUUCAAUCUUGGCGCCACACUUCAAUCUCUCCCUUCUCUCAAUUUCAGUUCCUUUCCUUUUCUCGUAGACAGGAGACGUGUUUUAUCCAUGGACCCAAAACUCCGGCGCCGGUCAUGGACUCGGGAAGACAGUCUUCCCUUGGUGUUUAAUCAUGCGGGGACGCCUGCCUGAUUAUUCACCCACAUUUCAGAGGUGUCUGACCACGUGGGGAUGCCUGCCUUGGUCCUUCACCCUUAGCGGCAAGUACUGCUUUUCUGGGGGCAAGAACCCCCUGACCCCCUUCUCUCCAUGUGUCUACCCUUCUCCGCUUUUCUGGGGGUCAAGAACCCCUGAACCCUUCUCUCCAUAUCUCUAGCCCUUCUCCACUUUUCUGGGGUGCAAGAACCCCCCGGUCCCUUCUCUCUGUGUCUCUACCCCUUCUCUGCUUUUCUGGAGGACAAGAAGCCCCCACCCCUUCUCUCCAUGUCUCUACUCUCUCUUUUUUCUGGGCUUGCCUCCUUCACUAUGGGCAAGCUUCUGCCCUCCAUUCCCCCUUCUCCCUUAGCCUGUGUUCUUAAAGACCUAAAACCUUCCUCCUUAUAUCAACUCUACUCCCCCCAUAUUUAGACCUCUCACAACACAAACUACUAUUCCUGUGGCAGCUCCUUUAUGUAUCUCUCAGCAAAGACCCACUGGAAUUCCCCUAGGUAAACUUUCACCUUCUCGAUGUUCCUUUACUCUUCAUCUCCAAAGCCCAACUACACACAUCACUGAAACAAUUGGAGCCUUCCAGCUCCAUAUUACAGACAAGCCCUCUAUCAGUAGUGGCAAACUUAAAAAC
rnacentral:lncRNA from 1 species